UACGUAGGGUGCGAGCGUUGUCCGGAAUUACUGGGCGUAAAGAGCUCGUAGGUGGUUUGUCGCGUUGUUCGUGAAAACUCACAGCUCAACUGUGGGCGUGCGGGCGAUACGGGCAGACUGGAGUACUGCAGGGGAGUCUGGAAUUCCUGGUGUAGCGGUGGAAUGCGCAGAUAUCAGGAGGAACACCGGUGGCGAAGGCGGGUCUCUGGGCAGUAACUGACGCUGAGGAGCGAAAGCGUGGGGAGCGAACAGG
rnacentral:rRNA from 1 species